UAGUAUCAGCCACGUUAUCAAAAUUAGCAGAGUCAAAAUAAUGUAUGUAUUGAGUAUCAUCAGCAUACUGAUGUAUUUCAGAAUCUUCAACUAGACCGGGUAAAUCUGAAGUAUAUAUAAGAAAUAAUAAUGGGCCUAGGAUCGACCCUUGUGGGACACCAGAAAUAAUGUUUUUCGAAGCAGAAUAUUCAUUAUUCACCCUCACUUUCUGGGUUCUACGCCAUAAUUUCGCUACAAGCAAAUCAUGAUCGAUGACAUCAAAUGCUUUCGAGAAAUCAAGGGCUAUCAUAAUGGCUGAAAUCUUUUUGUCAAGAGCUCGCAUGAUAUUAUCGGUGACGUUUAGAAGUGAACUAGCUGUACUAUGAUGUUUCCUAAAACCAGAUUGAUGGGAAGGGAGGAUAUUAUUUGACAUUAAAAAUGAUGACAGCUGUAUAUAGACAAUUCUUUCGAGAACUUUGGAGAUUACGGGAAGCAAACUUAUCGGACGCAAAUCUUGAAUACUUUCAGGACUGGAGGAUUUGGGAAUCGGACAUACCACUGAUUCACGCCAGGCCGUAGGAAAAUAUCCUACCUCCAAACAACAAUUUAUAAUAUGAGUGACAUGAUCCAGUAUAUCAGGGAGACAUAAGUGUAACAUACGUCGAGUUAUGUUAUCCACACCAGAGGCAUUGGACCUAAUAUUUUUUAUAGUUUUUUCGACAGUACUUUGGUCUACUAACGAAAAAUGAAAAUUAUCCUCGGUAAAUUUAUUACUGGAGUAGAAGUUAAUUUUGUUUACACAUUUAUCAGAUUUAUUAAAAACACUUACAAAAAAAUCAUUUAUUUGAUUUGGAUCAGAUAUAUUAAACGGCAGCUCGUUAUUA